UGAAAAUGUGAUCCGAGGGGACAGCUCUGAAACCGACAAACCAGUCAUAGUUGAAGUGUAUUUUAAGAGUCCAAAGUCUGAGGAAGCUAUUCAGGAGAACUGAGCAGUGUGGGGCAGAGAAAAGGAAGAACUAGCCCUUUUUUGUCUUGGAUUGGUUUUGGUUUUGUUGAGACAGUUUCUCUGUGUGGCCCUGGCUUCCUGGAACUCACUCUACAGCGGCAACUAUUUUAAGUGAUGGCCAUGUCUGAUCUCUUAAAUUGGGAAACAUCUUUUCUGAUCUCAUGAUCUGUAAAGCUAAGACGUGGGCGUGUGUGGCAGUCACCAGUACGGUCACCGCGGAGGGUGUUGGGCUUGGAACUGAUUCCAGAAAAGACAAGAAAGAGCAUCCUGAACGACGAGAACAACCUUCUUAACUUCCUGUACUGGGAAGGGGCAGAUCCGAUUAUCUUCAAAACCUCCCGGUCCCAAAAGUCCAUGAAAUGUAGUCCCUGACGUCAUGGUCCAGCAAUAAUUGAUUUUUUUUUUUUUUUAUAUGAAGAGGUUGUUCAUCAGGUUUCAGUCUCAGGAAAACUAUUCUUUCUGCGUCCUGGACAGACCACUAGGCUCUGAAAACCUAGAUUGCUGUCUCUUCCUAUUGAAAUUUUGGAGUUUUCAAAAAGACAAACGUGACCGUGGAGAUGGCUCUGGUUUGAAAGGCAACCCCCAACCCGCUGGGAUUCUAGCUCCCAGGAAUCUGGUGCUUCCGGGCAUCUGAUGUUCCAGGGACUCUGACGCCCUCUUCUGGACUCUAGGUGACUGUACAUAUCCACACAGAUCCAUACCCAUAAAUAAAAAUUAACUGAUUAAUUAAAAAUACCAACCAGGACUUUACGGCCUGUCUUAAUAAAUCAUCUGUGUUUGUAUCUGAUCACGAAAUCAACUGAUUUGAUCAAACACCAUCCAUAAGUUUCUCUAAAGAUGCUAAGUUUUUCCUUUCUAAAAUAAUAGUUUUUAAAUAACCUAUUAAUACUUACACUAUUUGUGUCCGACGUCAUUUUUGUUUUAUAAUCAAAUUGAUAUGGAAAUAAAUUGAAUAUAUCUUGCAUUAAAAUAUAAAAAUUAAUCCAAUGUAAGUUAAGCUUUGCAUUUACUUUUCUAAGACAAGGAGCAAAUUAUUUCGGCUUAACUUGUAUCAAUAUAAUUAUCUGUAGAACAGAGAUUGUGAGCAUGUUUAAAAAUAUUUAGUAGUAUUUUAUUACUGGAUAAUAAAUAAUAUAACUGUUCUUAUAUAUUAAUAAAUGUUAGUAUUAUUUAUUAAA